GUUAAGAUGGCAGAGCCCGGCAAUUGCAUAAAAUUUAAGACUUUACAAUCAGAGGUUCAACUCCUCUUCUUAACACC
rnacentral:tRNA from 1 species